AGGAUUAGAUACCCUGGUAGUCCACGGCCCUUUACGAUGGAUGCUAGUUGUUGGGGAGCCAGUCUGUUCAGGUAAUGCAGCUAACGCAUUAAGCACCCCGCCUGGGGAGUACGUUCGCAAGAUUUAAACUCAAAGGAAUAGACUGGGACCUGCACAAGCGGUGGAGCAUGUGGUUUAAUUCGAAGAUACGCGAAGAACCUUACCUGGGCUUGACAUCCUAAGAACUUUGUAGAGAUACAUUGGUGCUAGCUUGCUAGAACUUAGUGACAGGUACUGCACGGCUGUCGUCAGCUCGUGUCGUGAGAUGUUGGGUUAAGUCCCGCAACGAGCGCAACCCCCGUCCUUAGUUGCUAACGGUUCGUCCGAGAACUCUAAGGAGACUGCCUUCGUAAGGAGGAGGAAGGUGGGGACGACGUCAAGUCAUCAUGGCCCUUAUGCCCAGGGCAACACACGUGCUACAAUGGGGUGUACAGAGAGAAGCAAUACUGCGAAGUGGAGCAAAUCUCUAAAGCAUCUCUUAGUUCGGAUUGCUCUCUGCAACUCGAGAGCAUGAAGCCGGAAUCGCUAGUAAUCGUGAAUCAGCUAUGUCACGGUGAUACGUUCCCGGGUCUUGUACUCACCGCCCGUCACACCAUGGGAGUUGCAUUCACCCGAAGCCGGAAUGCUAAAUUGGCUACCGUCCACGGUGGGUGCAGCGACUGGGGUGAAG
rnacentral:rRNA from 1 species